UACGUAGGGUGCGAGCGUUAAUCGGAAUUACUGGGCGUAAAGUGUGCGCAGGCGGCCGCGCAAGUCGAGUGUGAAAGCCCCGGGCUUAACUUGGGAAUUGCGCUCGAAACUACGUGGCUGGAGUGUGGCAGAGGAAGGUGGAAUUCCAGGUGUAGCGGUGAAAUGCGCAGAUAUCAGGAGGAACACCGGUGGCGAAGGCGGGUCUCUGGGCCGAUACUGACGCUGAGGAGCGAAAGCGUGGGGAGCAAACAGG
rnacentral:rRNA from 1 species